AUUUGCAGAGACGUGCAAUGAUAACAACUUGCAUUUAUAUAGCCCCAUUCACAUAGUAUAACGUCUCAAAGCAUUUUACAGAGGCGGUGCUGGAUACUCAGCAGGGAGGAUGGAGGAGGAGGAGGGAAUUGACUGGUCAAUGAUUGAAGAGCCCCAUUGAAACACUGGUGAAAUCAGCUGCUGAAAUGAAGAUCAUGUGUGGAAAAGAAAAGCCUUAUAUUUAGGUGUUAUUGGAAAAUUACAUUUUGAAGAACACAGACAACAACCUGUACUUAUACAGCGCCUUUCACACAGUUAAACAUCUUCGAUUGCUAUUCAGAGAUGGAGUGGGAACCCAACAGGGUGGGAUUGGGGAAUGGGGAGAUAAGAUGGACACAAAUUACACACUGGCACCAGUGAAGAUUAACAAAAAACUCUUUGUGAGCUUUGGCUUUCCAAGAACUCACCUGAGACCAUGGAGUGUUGUGCUUCCUACAUUACUUCCUCCAUUGAGUCCUGCAGCUCAGAACACAUGCCUUACAAGUGAGAGACCUGGGUUAAAU